UUCUUUGACUCUUGUGCAAGCGAUUUGUGUGCUUAAGAGUCUGUAUUAGUUGUCUGGUCUGUGUUACAGUAGUAGAUAUAAACAAGAUGUGUUGCAUGUGUGUCACACUAAACAUGCGGCAUGAAUUGGUGUGUGUCUCUGUGUGUGGCCUGCUUGAGUCAGUGUGAGUCACAGUCACGGCAUGUGUCAGCAUGAAGCAUUGUGACGUAGAUGUUUCUGUUUGCAUGUGUUUCAACACUAACUUUGUGCUUGCUUGGGAUAACACCUGAAGUUAGUCAGCUAGUAUGAUGGUAUGUAUUAUUUUUAGUGCUAAGCUGCAGAAUAUUGGCCGUUAGUUGUAUUAAUUAAGAGUGUUUUGUUUAUUGUUGCUGUUGACAUCUCUCUCUCGGCCACCGUAGUUAACACAUACUUAACAUUAGCAUAUGGAUGAAUUGUACAUUAGUUUUACAUUUCUCUCAUCUAGGGCUGUGUGGAUAAUUCAGGCUCAUCUGUUUUCUAGCAAAGUAGAUGGUUCUUUUUUGUAAUCCUUUGCACAGAUAAGGAUUUAAGAAAAAUCAGAAGAAAUUUCUGAAGAAGUAAAAAAAAAACAAUAGUUUUAUUUUUUCUAAUUUUUUUUUAUAAAUCUAUCACUCGACCUUGAAUCCUGCACUGUCUUUAAGAAUAUAAGUCUUUAAGAUAAAGAUAUCAGCCUUUGAGCAAUGGAUCCCCGUCAUGUUUCAAAGCAUUUUUAAGCAAAUACAAUAAAAUAUAUUCACUAAUUUCAUGAUAUAGCAAACAAUCAAGUAUGAAUCUCUGCUAAAGCUGCAGUACUUUAAGACAUACACUACCAACUACAAACAUACAGUAAGUCAGUAAAACUUCAAAAAAAAAAAAGAAUACUGAUAUUCAUCAAGAAGCAUUCAACUGAUCAAAAGUAACUCUAAAAACUUUUAUGUUAUUAAAAAAAUAUGUUUCAAAUAAAUGCUGUUCAUUUGAACUUUGUCCAUCAAUUCUGAAUGGAAAAAAAUAUAUAUAACUAUAUUUAUAUUUAUAUUUGUGUGUGUGUGUGUGUGUAUAAGCAGCCCAACUGUUUUUAACAUUAAUAAUAAUAAAAAGAACCAAGUAUGGCUGCUGCAGAAUUCAGCUUUGCCAUCACAGGAAUCAAUUACACUUUAAAUAUAUUAAAAAUAAACUAGUGCUGUCAAUCGAUUAAAAAAUUUAAUCGCAUUAAUCACAGUCAUGGACUGUGAUUAAUCAUGAUUAAUCGCAAAUUUAAAAUACUAGGAUUUACCUGUAAAUGUGUUGAAAUAAAGAAAUGCGUGACAAACUAGUUUAAGGAAACAGAACCUUUCACACUUGCACCAGGUAUGAGACAUAAUCCUUAUUAUUCUUUUAUCAUUAUUCUUUUGUUUUUAUUCAGCCAUUAUCAGCCUUUAUACUGGCAAUAAAACAUUUACCAAGCCACAUCGCUUCAAUCCCAGUAUGCAUUUACCCAACUACUACCAAAAGUAUUUCUAAAUAAAUACAACAAAACAUUUUCUUGCGACCUUACGUGAAGUAUUAUGACAAAAUGCAUUAUUGGACCUGUAACUUCUGCAGGUGCAUUAGAGCUAAUAUUAGCAUCAUGCUUCAUAAGACAAUUUAUGAGAUUAAUAGUACACUUUUACUCAGAACUCACUUCAAACCACCAUCGAGUGUUUGUAAUAACUUCCUUUUGCGAUCACAUGUGGAAUUUGGUCGUUUACUGUUGUUAAAAUAUGCUAUUUUGCUAUGUAUUGUAUAAAACAUACAAAUAUCCUAUCGUAAUCGUGUGUUUAUUAUUUUAUAUAAUCUAUAGUGGCUGUUGUCAUAUUUAUUUCUGCUGUGUAACGUGCUCUGCUGAAACUCACGUUGUUUGUGAUGUUAACCGCCUCUCUGUUCUUAAGUUGCCAGGGAUACAUUCCAAGUAUAAUACACAUUAGUAAAAGGAUCUAUUUUCAUUUUUAUUUGUCUAUAUACACCUUGGGCAGCCGCGGUACAUGAUAAAAGUAGCCCAAAAAAACGUAACCCAUGGCUCUAUAAUGUUUCCCGCGACUGUAUUUUCAAAAUAGCCCA